rnacentral:rRNA from 1 species
CAAUAGCGUAUAUUAAAGUUGUUGCAGUUAAAAAGCUCGUAGUUGGAUUUCUGGUGGGAGCGAUCGGUCUGGCGCUUAGCGCGAGUACUUGCAUCGUCUCCGGCCAUCCUUGGGGGGAGUCUGUCUGGCAUUAGGUUGUCGGGCAGAGGAUCCUCAUCGUUUACUGUGAAAAAAUUAGAGUGUUCAAAGCAGGCUUAUGCCGUUGAAUAUGUUAGCAUGGAAUAAUAAGAUAGGACUUUGGUACUAUUUUGUUGGUUUGCGCACCAAAGUAAUGAUUAAUAGGGACAGUUGGGGGUAUUCGUAUUCCGUUGUCAGAGGUGAAAUUCUUGGAUUUACGGAAGACGAACUACUGCGAAAGCAUUUACCAAGGAUGUUUUCAUUAA